UUUGAGAAGUUAAACAAUUUGGUCCAGUGAUUCGGUGAAGCACCUGAAAAUAGUGGUUGCAAAGAAGUGGGAAAUUCACAAAAAUCCAUCGAAAAGCAAACGAAUGGAGGAUAGAAGUUCGAUUUUUAUCCGUCAAGUUAGGUUUUGGUGAAGCCGAAGGAGCUGAACUACAGGCGGAUACCAAAGGGCUUGUAGCAUAGCGAUAUAAAGUUGUCUACUAAAGGCGUUCAAAGUGGUUGAGGAUUCUUGUCCCUUGGUGGACGUUGGUGUAGAUCUAGGAGUAGGUCUAGAGGGUUUGUGAGUUGGACGGUUUAAAAACAUGAGGUAAAUGCCUGAACCAACGUCCGUUGGUGUCUAUGAGGAUGAUAACGUGGUCCUAGAGUAAAAUGGUAACAAUGUCAAGAAAGCAGGGCUCCAUUCAACGCUUGCUUCACUCCUCGAUGAUCAUGUGCUUGCAGAUAUACCAAAGAAACCAACUCUAUCAGAUGUUGACACCCUCAUCAGCUUGGAACUUGGGAGUGCACAUCUUUUGAUGUUGCUGUGAUGAAUUCUGCUACACUUAAGGAUUUGAAACUAGCCGUCGAGAAAAAAUCCAAUGAAAUAGAGCAGUCAAAGAUGGGCCAUCGCCAUAUUUCUUGGUAUUUCUCUCUCCCCCUUUUCUUUCCUUAUGUUACUUAAUUGUUUCUCAAACGUAAAGGGGAUGCACAAAAGGGAUGCACGAAGAUCAUUGAUCUAACACAAACCCCAUAUCAACCUUGUUUGUUAAUCGUCUGCUGUUGACGGAAGUCAAUCGGAGGUGAAGAACUAAGUUGUCGGCCGGAGGUGAUGAGAGAUGGUAAUCGGUGGUCGAUUGAUCGGCGCGGUGCUUAUCGGAGGUGAAUAGAGUGGUUGCCGUGGUGGAAAUUGUCGACAAAAGGAAUGAAGGACCGUGGUGGAGGUGUUUUCCGGCGGUCGGAGAUGAUAAAAGUUGAUCAGUGGUCGUGUACAGAGAGAUGGUCGUCGGCAGUGUGAUGGGGUAAUCGGAGGUGGGUAGUGUGAUAGAUGAUGGUGGAGGUUAGUCUAUUGUGGGUGACGGUGGAUAUGGUGGUCGAUCGGAGGGUGAGUCGUGAUUGUUAUUCGACGGUGGGGUAGUGGUGAUUGUUGGUCAGAAAAAGGUGGAUGGAUGGUGGUUGAUGUCCUCGGUGGCGGAGUUGUUCCUAAUGGGGCAUCAAUGUGAAGAAAAACUGGGGCAAAAGACAGGAAGACAGGGACUGAACAGCCAAAUUGGGGAAGAAGACGGGGACUGAAUAGAGGUGCACACGUGUCAAAAGGUGAGUGGUUGCUGAGGAAAGCUCUUUUAAGCCGUGUCGAAACUCGUGCAAAGGCCCGUGGAGUCGUUUCAGUUGGCCAUUUUUGAAAAAUUGAUCAUUCAAUGGCUAUUUUGGUAAUUAUCCCUUAUGAAUUUGUGUUGGAAACUGAUAAAGUAAAAAACAAUACGCGCGUCAUAGCUGGUUGGGUUUGGUUUCAUUUUUAGGUUAUUUUGUAUGAUUAAUCUGUUUGACCCGUUAUCAAUCAUAUCCAAUCCGUAUUAACAGGUUUUCAUUAAAA